UCGCGAAAACUUCGCAAUGGGGGCAACCCCGACGAGGGAAUUCCAAGUGCCAGCACUUUGUGUUGGCUGUUCUCCUGUCUAAAAAACAGGAGGAGUAAGGGGCGGGUAAGACGGGUGCCAGCCGCCGCGGUAAUACCCGCGCCCCUAGUGGUGGUCGAUAUUAUUGAGCCUAAAACGUCCGUAGCCGGUCUUUUAAAUCCUUGGGUAAAUCGGGCAGCUUAACUGUCCGAAGUCCGGGGAGACUGGGAGACUUGGGACCGGGAGAGGUCAGAGGUACUUCUGGGGUAGGGGUAAAAUCCUGUAAUCCUGGAAGGACCACCGGUGGCGAAGGCGUCUGACUAGAACGGAUCCGACGGUGAGGGACGAAGCCCUGGGGCGCAAACGGGAUUACGAUACCCCG
rnacentral:rRNA from 1 species